rnacentral:rRNA from 1 species
UACGAAGGGGGCUAGCGUUGCUCGGAAUCACUGGGCGUAAAGGGCGCGUAGGCGGACGUUUUAAGUCAGGGGUGAAAUCCUGGAGCUCAACUCCAGAACUGCCUUUGAUACUGGAGAGCUUGAGUCCGGGAGAGGUGAGUGGAACUCCGAGUGUAGAGGUGAAAUUCGUAGAUAUUCGGAAGAACACCAGUGGCGAAGGCGGCUCACUGGCCCGGUACUGACGCUGAUGUGCGAAAGCGUGGGAGCAAACAGG